UGAGGAAUAUUGGUCAAUGGGCGCAAGCCUGAACCAGCCAUCCCGCGUGCAGGAAGACGGCCCUAUGGGUUGUAAACUGCUUUUAUAAGGGAAUAAAAAACACCAUGUAUGGUGUCUUGUAGGUACCUUACGAAUAAGGAUCGGCUAACUCCGUGCCAGCAGCCGCGGUAAUACGGAGGAUCCGAGCGUUAUCCGGAUUUAUUGGGUUUAAAGGGUGCGUAGGCGGAAAAUUAAGUCAGUGGUGAAAGUUUGCAGCUCAACUGUAAAAUUGCCAUUGAAACUGAUUUUCUUGAGUACAAAUGAGGUAGGCGGAAUGUGUUGUGUAGCGGUGAAAUGCAUAGAUAUUACACAUAACACCGACUGCGAAGGCAGCUUACUGAGAUAAAACUGACGCGGAUGCACGCAAGCGUGGGGAUCGAACG
rnacentral:rRNA from 1 species